GAAAUGCGAUAAGUAAUGUGAAUUGCAGAAUUCAGUGAAUCAUCGAAUCUUUGAACGCACCUUGCGCUCCUUGGUAUUCCUUGGAGCAUGCCUGUUUGAGUAUCAUGAAAUCUUCAAAGUAAAUCUUUUGUUAACUCAAUUGGUUUCUACUUUGGUAUUGGAGGUCUUUGCAGCUUCACACCUGCUCCUCUUUGUUCAUUAGCUGGAUCUCAGUGUUAUGCUUGGUUCCACUCGGCGUGAUAAGUUAUCUAUCGCUGAGGACACUGUAAAAGGUGGCCAAGGUAAAUGCAGAUGAACCGCUUCUAAUAGUCCAUUGACUUGGACAAUACUUUUAUGAUUUGAUCUCGAAUCAGGUAGGACUACCCGCUGAACUUAAGC
rnacentral:misc_RNA from 1 species